rnacentral:rRNA from 1 species
AUUGAACGCUGGCGGCAGGCCUAACACAUGCAAGUCGAACGGUAACAGGAAACAGCUUGCUGUUUCGCUGACGAGUGGCGGACGGGUGAGUAAUGUCUGGGAAACUGCCUGAUGGAGGGGGAUAACUACUGGAAACGGUAGCUAAUACCGCAUAACGUCGCAAGACCAAAGAGGGGGACCUUCGGGCCUCUUGCCAUCGGAUGUGCCCAGAUGGGAUUAGCUAGUAGGUGGGGUAACGGCUCACCUAGGCGACGAUCCCUAGCUGGUCUGAGAGGAUGACCAGCCACACUGGAACUGAGACACGGUCCAGACUCCUACGGGAGGCAGCAGUGGGGAAUAUUGCAAAAUGGGCGCAAGCCUGAUGCAGCCAUGCCGCGUGUAUGAAGAAGGCCUUCGGGUUGUAAAGUACUUUCAGCGGGGAGGAAGGGAGUAAAGUUAAUACCUUUACUCAUGGACGUUACCCGCAGAAGAAGCACCGGCUAACUCCGG